AAGGGCAUCCUUCUGUAAGAAAAGGAGUAAUUCGGUAUAGGAUGGGCCCGCAUCUGAUUAGCUAGUUGGUGAGAUAACAGCCCACCAAGGCGACGAUCAGUAGCCGACCUGAGAGGGUGAUCGGCCACAUUGGGACUGAGACACGGCCCAAACUCCUACGGGAGGCAGCAGUGGGGAAUAUUGCACAAUGGGGGAAACCCUGAUGCAGCAACGCCGCGUGAAGGAAGAAGGUUUUCGGAUCGUAAACUUCUAUCAACAGGGACGAAGAAAGUGACGGUACCUGAAUAAGAAGCCCCGGCUAACUACGUGCCAGCAGCCGCGGUAAUACGUAGGGGGCAAGCGUUAUCCGGAAUUACUGGGUGUAAAGGGAGCGUAGGCGGCACGCCAAGCCAGAUGUGAAAGCCCGAGGCUUAACCUCGCGGAUUGCAUUUGGAACUGGCGAGCUAGAGUACAGGAGAGGAAAGCGGAAUUCCUAGUGUAGCGGUGAAAUGCGUAGAUAUUAGGAAGAACACCAGUGGCGAAGGCGGCUUUCUGGACUGAAACUGACGCUGAGGCUCGAAAGCGUGGGGAGCAAACAGGAUUAGAUACCCUGGUAGUCCACGCCGUAAACGAUGANNNNNNNNNNAUUAGGAAGAACACCAGUGGCGAAGGCGGCUUUCUGGACUGAAACUGACGCUGAGGCUCGAAAGCGUGGGGAGCAAACAGGAUUAGAUACCCUGGUAGUCCACGCCGUAAACGAUGAGUGCUAGGUGUCGGGGAGGAAUCCUCGGUGCCGCAGCUAACGCAAUAAGCACUCCACCUGGGGAGUACGACCGCAAGGUUGAAACUCAAAGGAAUUGACGGGGGCCCGCACAAGCGGUGGAGCAUGUGGUUUAAUUCGAAGCAACGCGAAGAACCUUNNNNNNNNNNGACGGGGGCCCGCACAAGCGGUGGAGCAUGUGGUUUAAUUCGAAGCAACGCGAAGAACCUUACCAAGGCUUGACAUCCCGAUGACCGCUCUAGAGAUAGAGCUUCUCUUCGGAGCAUCGGUGACAGGUGGUGCAUGGUUGUCGUCAGCUCGUGUCGUGAGAUGUUGGGUUAAGUCCCGCAACGAGCGCAACCCUUAUCCUUAGUAGCCAUCAUUGAGUUGGGCACUCUAGGGAGACUGCCGUGGAUAACACGGAGGAAGGUGGGGAUGACGUCAAAUCAUCAUGCCCCUUAUGUCUUGGGCUACACACGUGCUACAAUGGCUGGUAACAGAGUGAAGCGAGACGGCGACGUUAAGCAAAUCACAAAAACCCAGUCCCAGUUCGGAUUGUAGUCUGCAACUCGACUACAUGAAGCUGGAAUCGCUAGUAAUCGCGAAUCAGAAUGUCGCGGUGAAUACGUUCCCGGGCCUUGUACACACCGCCCGUCACACCAUGGGAGUUGGAAGCACCCGAAGUCGGUGACCUAACCGUAAGGAAGGAGCCGCCGAAGGUGAAGCCAGUGACUGGGGUGAAGUCGUAACAAGGUAGCCGUAUCGGAAGGUGCGGCUG
rnacentral:rRNA from 1 species